AGUUAAACCUGACAGGAGCGUGCAGGAGCACCAAUUUUUUCAAUUGGUGCGAGUAAAGCGGAUGGCAGGGCUUUCG
rnacentral:misc_RNA from 1 species